UUAGAUACCCCACUAUGCUUAGCCCUUAACAAAGAGGGUGCCUGCACAACACCCUCCGCCCGAGAACUACAAGCGAAAAGCUAAAAACUCCAAGGACUUGGCGGUGCUUCAAAUCAACCUAGAGGAGCCUGUCCUAUAAUCGAUACCCCACGUUUUACCUAACCCCCCCUAGUAAUCAGCCUAUAUACCGCCGUCGCCAGCCUACCUUAUGAAAGAAAGAGAGUAAGCAAAACAGUUAUCAACUAGCACGUCAGGUCAAGGUGUAGCAAACGGGGCGGCAGAGAUGGGCUACAUUUUAAAAUAAAUACACGAAUAGCAAGAUGAAAUACUUGCUUGAAGGCGGAUUUAGUAGUCAGAUAGCCAAGAAAAGCCAUCUAAAACCUGCUCUGAAGCGCGCACACACCGCCCG
rnacentral:rRNA from 1 species